rnacentral:tRNA from 1 species
UGGUGGGCGCGGUAGGGAUUGAACCUACGACCCCCGCCGUGUGAAGGCGAUGCUCUCCCGCUGAGCUACGCGCCC